CCUGGUGGCGAGUGGCGAACGGGUGAGUAAUACAUCGGAACGUGUCCUGGAGUGGGGGAUAGCCCGCCGAAAGCCGGAUUAAUACCGCAUACGCUCUGAGGAGAAAAGCGGGGGAUCUUUCGGGACCUCGCGCUCAAGGGGCGGCCGAUGGCAGAUUAGCUAGUUGGUGGGGUAAAGGCCUACCAAGGCGACGAUCUGUAGCUGGUCUGAGAGGACGACCAGCCACACUGGGACUGAUACACGGCCCAGACUCCUACGGGAGGCAGCAGUGGGGAAUUUUGGACAAUGGGCGCAAGCCUGAUCCAGCAAUGCCGCGUGUGUGAAGAAGGCCUUCGGGUUGUAAAGCACUUUUGUCCGGAAAGAAAACCUCGGUCCUAAUACCGUGGGUGGAUGACGGUACCGGAAGAAUAAGCACCGGCUAACUACGUGCCAACAGCCGCGGUAAUACGUACGGUGCAAGCGUUAAUCGGAAUUACUGGGCGUAAAGCGUGCGCAGGCGGUCCUUUAACACAGAUGUGACAUCCCCGGGCUUAACCUGGGAACUGCAUUUGUGACUGGCCGGACUCGAGUAUGGCAUAGGGGGGUAGAAUUUCCACGUGUAGCAAUGAAAUG
rnacentral:rRNA from 1 species